rnacentral:rRNA from 1 species
AUUGGAUAGGCAAUUUUUCCUGUAAUGGUUUUUUGUUUAAAUGUUUUUUCGCCUAAGGAUGGGUCUGCGGCCGAUUAGGUAGUUGGUUAGGUAAUGGCUUACCAAGCCUUUGAUCGGUACGGGUUGUGAGAGCAAGAGCCCGGAGAUGGAACCUGAGACAAGGUUCCAGGCCCUACGGAGUGCAGCAGGCGCGAAACCUCCGCAAUGUGAGAAAUCGCGACGGGGGGAUCCCAAGUGCCAUUCUUAACGGGAUGGCUUUUCUUUAGUGUAAAAAGCUUUUGGAAUAAGAGCUGGGCAAGACCGGUGCCAGCCGCCGCGGUAGCACCGGCAGCUCUAGUGGUAGCAAUUUUUAUUGGGCCUAAAGCGUCCGUAGCCGGUUUAAUAAGUCUCUGGUGAAAUCCUGUAGCUUAACUGUGGGAAUUGCUGGAGAUACUAUUAGACUUGAGACCGGGAGAGGUUAGAGGUACUCCCAGGGUAGAGGUGAAAUUCUGUAAUCCUGGGAGGACCGCCUGUUGCGAAGGCGUCUAACUGGAACGGUUCUGACGGUGAGGGACGAAAGUUAGGGGCGCGAACCGGAUUAGAUACCCGGGUAGUCCUAACUGUAAACGAUGCGGACUUGGUGUUGGGGUGGCUUUGAGCUGCUUCAGUGCCGAAGGGAAGCUGUUAAGUCCGCCGCCUGGGAAGUACGGUCGCAAGACUGAAACUUAAGGAAUUGGCGGGGGAGCACCACAACACGUGGAGCCUGCGGUUUAAUUGGAUUCAACGCCGGACAUCUCACCAGAGGCGACAGCUGUAUGAUAGCCAGGUUGAUGACUUUGCUUGACUAGCUGAGAGGAGGUGCAUGGCCGCCGUCAGCUCGUACCGUGAGGCGUCCUGUUAAGUCAGGCAACGAGCGAGACCCACGCCCUUAGUUACCAGCUUAUCCUUUUUUGGAUGAUGGGCACACUAAGGGGACCGCCUAUGAUAAAUAGGAGGAAGGAGUGGACGACGGUAGGUCCGUAUGCCCCGAAUCCUCUGGGCAACACGCGGGCUACAAUGGCUAAGACAAUGGGUUCCGACACCGAAAGGUGGAGGUAAUCCUCUAAACUUAGUCGUAGUUCGGAUUGAGGACUGUAACUCGUUCUCAUGAAGCUGGAAUGCGUAGUAAUCGCGUGUCACAAUCGCGCGGUGAAUACGUCCCUGCUCCUUGCACACACCG